rnacentral:rRNA from 1 species
UUUUUGAAUUUUAUUUAAAGUCUGGCCUGCCCACUGAAUUUUUGAAGGGCCGCAGUAUUUUGACUGUGCUAAGGUAGCAUAAUCAUUUGUUUUUUAAUUGAAAACUGGAAUGAAGGGUUUGAUGAGGUAUAAACUGUCUCUAUAUAAACAAUUUAAUAAUUUAAAUUUUAAGUUAAAAUGCUUAAAUAAAAAUAAAAGACGAGAAGACCCUAUAGAUCUUUAUAUUUUAGUUUAAUUUAUUAUUUAUAAAAAAAUUAAUGUUAGGUAAAAGUAUUUAAUUGGGGUGAUUUAAAAAUUAAACAAACUUUUUAAUUAUGUAAUCUUUUUUUAAGAAUUAUUGAUCCAGUUUUAUUGAUUAAUAAAUUAAGUUACCUUAGGGAUAACAGCGUAAUUUUUUUAAAGAGUUCAUAUCGAUAAAAAAGAUUGCGACCUCGAUGUUGAAUUAAAGUAUAUCUUAGGAGUAGAAAAUUAAGAUUUUAGUCUGUUCGACUAUUUUACUUU